rnacentral:rRNA from 1 species
GACGAACGCUGGCGGCGUGCUUAACACAUGCAAGUCGAACGGAAAGGCCCGCUUGCGGGUACUCGAGUGGCGAACGGGUGAGUAACACGUGGGCAACCUGCCCUCAGCUGCGGGAUAACACUCGGAAACAGGUGCUAAUACCGAAUAAUAACCUUUCAUUGCAUGGUGGUUGGUUAAAAGUUUUUCGGCGGAGGAUGGGCCGGCGGCCUAUCAGCUUGUUGGUGGGGUAAUGGCCUACCAAGGCGACGACGGGUAGCCGGCCUGAGAGGGCGACCGGCCACAAUGGGACUGAGACACGGCCCAGACGCCUACGGGAGGCAGCAGUGGGGAAUAUUGCGCAAUGGGCGGAAGCCUGACGCAGCGACGCCGCGUGAGGGAUGACGGCCUUCGGGUUGUGAACCUCUUUCAGCUCUGACGAAGCGCAAGCGACGGUAGGAGCAGAAGAAGCACCGGCCAACUACGUGCCAGCAGCCGCGGUAA